rnacentral:rRNA from 1 species
GAUCAUGGCUCAGGAUGAACGCUAGCUACAGGCUUAACACAUGCAAGUCGAGGGGAAACGAUAUUGGAAGCUUGCUUCCGAUAGGCGUCGACCGGCGCACGGGUGAGUAACGCGUAUCUAACCUGCCCAUACCACGGGAUAGCCCGUCGAAAGGCGGAUUAAUACCGUAUGCUGUCAUUAAGAUGCAUAUAUUGAUGACGAAAGGACUGGCGGUAUGGGAUGGGGAUGCGUCUGAUUAGCUUGUUGGCGGGGUAACGGCCCACCAAGGCGACGAUCAGUAGGGGUUCUGAGAGGAAGGUCCCCCACAUUGGAACUGAGACACGGUCCAAACUCCUACGGGAGGCAGCAGUGAGGAAUAUUGGUCAAUGGGCGCAAGCCUGAACCAGCCAAGUAGCGUGAGGGAAGACUGCCCUACGGGUUGUAAACCUCUUUUGUUUGGGAAUAAAGUGCGGGACGCGUCCCGCAUUGCAUGUACCAUUUGAAUAAGGACCGGCUAAUUCCGUG